CUCAUCACACACACUCUUGUCUCUCUUCCCUCGUUAUUUAUGGACUAAGAAACCCCUUUAAGCAUUUUUUUUUUUAAUACAAAGCUUUAAAUGGCUGUUUUACAGUUAUUCUUAGUGCUCCCAUUUCUAGCAAAUUAGAAAUCAAAAGAAGCAAAGAAAAUUCUGUAUGUUGUAUAGGGGUUGACAUUAAGGUGUCAAACCUUGUUACAAACUGAAAUAAUUAUGGUCCAUUUAAAAUGCCACAUCAAUCAUGAAAAGGAUCGCAUCACGUGCUCAUGUGUCGGGAGAUGAAUAUUUAUACCUCGAUCGUUGAGGUUUUUUGGACAAAAAGAACACUUUGUCCCCCGAGAUCUCCCAAGCAAAAGAAUAGAGGCCUUGUUGCUUGGCUAGAAAAAUGAAGGGGGCCUUGGAUGGCCUCGAGUCUUGGAUAUUGAUAGUAACCUUAAUGCAAGUUCUGACAAAAUAAACCUACAAGUCAGCGUACAAAGCUCUUGCGUGAAAGUAAUGAAAUUCUAGACAAGGGUCACAAAGACACGAACAUCCACAAGCUCUAAAAAUGAGAUUUAAUUAUGAAUUCCAAAACAAAAUAAAAAAUAUCAACUCACAAAAUUGACUAAAAUGAGGCAUGAUACAUAGAGCGUUAGCUACAAUACUACACAAUUCAAAUUGUUUGGCUUUUGAGCCUUCCUUUAACGUGACAUUGAACCAGAGACCUCCUCCCACUAUCCCAUUAAUCAGGAUGCUAGAAACUAGUUGUAAUAUAUAUAUAAUGUUGCUGCUAGAAUGAAAUGUAGCCUCAGAACAGAAUUUU
rnacentral:lncRNA from 1 species